rnacentral:rRNA from 1 species
UACAGAGGUCUCAAGCGUUGUCCGGAAUUAUUGGGCGUAAAGGGCUCGUAGGCGGUUUGUCGCGUCGGGAGUGAAAUCCACUGGCUUAACUGGGGAGGGUCACGCGAUACUGAUCGACUCGAAGGCAGGAGAGGGAAGUGGAAUUCCCGGUGUAGUGGUGAAAUGCGUAGAUAUCGGGAGGAACACCAGUGGCGAAGGCGACUUCCUGGCCUGUUCUUGACGCUGAGGCGCGAAAGCUAGGGGAGCAAACGGG